GUCGUCGAGAAACAGCACCGAGAAAGAAAAUCCCCAAAUCGAGAGCACUGCCUCCUCGCCCAAGAUCGCCGUCGGUGGGCGCGGGUGAGUAGGCGGAGCUCGAGCAUCCGCGGCGGCCGGAGACCAGGAGGAGGAAGGUGCUCGAGCGUCUAAGGCGGGGUUUCCGUCCUUCCGUCUCCGUGGGGGACCUGCGCGCGGCGGAGCGGGUGCAACUGUUGUGGGUACAGACUGGUCCUUUUGAUCUGUGCUUCGAGGUUGCGAAGUGGCGGCCACGGCGGCUAUGGACGGAACAAGCAGUGGCAGCGGUAAAGGGAAAGAUGAGAAGAAGGUGGCGGCAGCGUGCGAUGUGGAGGCGCUACGCAAGUGCCUGCAGGAGAACAACGGUGAUCGUAUAAAGUGCCAGGCCCACAUCGACGCCUUCCGAUCCUCAUGUUCUAUCAGCCCUAACACCACCUCCUCCGCCUCCAAGGUACAAAAGAAUGCAUGAAAUGGCCAGAUGUGCUUUUGCUGGUGAAGAUGCACAAUACACAUACUGGAACACUGAGAUGUGGAUGGUCAAGUGAAAUUUGGAAGUUGAGAAAAAUGUCAACUUUAGAGUUGCAGGGUAGUGCCUUUUGUUUUCUUUUGUCGACUGCUAUGGCAGUUUUUAGUGCCGAAAGAACCAUUGGUAAAACUGUGAAACUCGUUGUGAUUUCUUUGCCAAGAAUGAGAAUAUGGAGGAUAACUUUUGCAAUCACCAUUCUCUUCAGUGAGUAACGUUUUGGUAGCUGUUUCAAAGUUUUGAGUCUCAGGUUUAGCCUACCAUGGUAUAACGUUCUGGAUGUAGACACCUGAUUCAACGAAACUAUCAGUUAAACCAGCCUUCUUUCUUUUUCCACUUUGGUUACCGAUUUGCUUGAGUAAAAUGGUUAAAAGUGAUUCUGCUCACCUCAACCCUAUUGUGGUUUUUUUCGUCCAGAGAGCUAUGGUCUCUGGCCAGAAAUAUAUUAAUUGUUUAGAAGGUGUGUUUUCUCACUUACGAACCGUACACUAAUUCUUAAUUUUACCAGAGGUCCAGCAGAGGACAAAAUAAUCUCAAUUGAUUUCUUUUGCUUCUUGAUUGCAUUUCGCUCUUUUGGUGAAGAGUGAGCGCUGGAGUUGAAGAUGGAGGUAAUUAGCAGGUAGGGGUAUGAGCGAGGACGGGGUCUUUACUGGCCCUGCUACUUUGUAUGUUGGAAGAGCGGAGCCAUUCAGUAGCUAAUCAAGCCAGUGUAUGAUGCUGAGGCACGCAGGUUGUAUUUACAGAA